AAAUUGAAGAGUUUGAUCAUGGCUCAGAUUGAACGCUGGCGGCAGGCCUAACACAUGCAAGUCGAACGGUAACAGGAAGCAGCUUGCUGCUUUGCUGACGAGUGGCGGACGGGUGAGUAAUGUCUGGGAAACUGCCUGAUGGAGGGGGAUAACUACUGGAAACGGUGGCUAAUACCGCAUAACGUCGCAAGACCAAAGAGGGGGACCUUCGGGCCUCUUGCCAUCAGAUGUGCCCAGAUGGGAUUAGCUUGUUGGUGAGGUAACGGCUCACCAAGGCGACGAUCCCUAGCUGGUCUGAGAGGAUGACCAGCCACACUGGAACUGAGACACGGUCCAGACUCCUACGGGAGGCAGCAGUGGGGAAUAUUGCACAAUGGGCGCAAGCCUGAUGCAGCCAUGCCGCGUGUAUGAAGAAGGCCUUCGGGUUGUAAAGUACUUUCAGCGGGGAGGAAGGUGUUGUGGUUAAUAACCGCAGCAAUUGACGUUACCCGCAGAAGAAGCACCGGCUAACUCCGUGCCAGCAGCCGCGGUAAUACGGAAGGUGCAAGCGUUAAUCGGAAUUACUGGGCGUAAAGCGCACGCAGGCGGUCUGUCAAGUCGGAUGUGAAAUCCCCGGGCUCAACCUGGGAACUGCAUUCGAAACUGGCAGGCUUGAGUCUUGUAGAGGGGGGUAGAAUUCCAGGUGUAGCGGUGAAAUGCGUAGAGAUCUGGAGGAAUACCGGUGGCGAAGGCGGCCCCCUGGACAAAGACUGACGCUCAGGUGCGAAAGCGUGGGGAGCAAACAGGAUUAGAUACCCUGGUAGUCCACGCCGUAAACGAUGUCUACUUGGAGGUUGUGCCCUUGAGGCGUGGCUUCCGGAGCUAACGCGUUAAGUAGACCGCCUGGGGAGUACGGCCGCAAGGUUAAAACUCAAAUGAAUUGACGGGGGCCCGCACAAGCGGUGGAGCAUGUGGUUUAAUUCGAUGCAACGCGAAGAACCUUACCUGGUCUUGACAUCCACAGAACUUUCCAGAGAUGGACUGGUGCCUUCGGGAACUGUGAGACAGGUGCUGCAUGGCUGUCGUCAGCUCGUGUUGUGAAAUGUUGGGUUAAGUCCCGCAACGAGCGCAACCCUUAUCCUUUGUUGCCAGCGAUUAGGUCGGGAACUCAAAGGAGACUGCCAGUGAUAAACUGGAGGAAGGUGGGGAUGACGUCAAGUCAUCAUGGCCCUUACGACCAGGGCUACACACGUGCUACAAUGGCGCAUACAAAGAGAAGCGACCUCGCGAGAGCAAGCGGACCUCAUAAAGUGCGUCGUAGUCCGGAUUGGAGUCUGCAACUCGACUCCAUGAAGUCGGAAUCGCUAGUAAUCGUGGAUCAGAAUGCCACGGUGAAUACGUUCCCGGGCCUUGUACACACCGCCCGUCACACCAUGGGAGUGGGUUACAAAAGAAGUAGGUAGCUUAACCUUCGGGAGGGCGCUUACCACUUUGUGAUUCAUGACUGGGGUGAAGUCGUAACAAGGUAACCGUAGGGGAACCUGCGGUUGGAUCACCUCCUUACCUUAAAGAA
rnacentral:rRNA from 1 species